CGGCGCAGAGCGGCGGCCGGGGGAGUGGAGGGUGCGAUCCGAGGAUGGUCGCGAUCCCCAGCCUUCCUGCCCUCGAAGGCCCGGGAAGCCUAGACAGUCCCCGGACGGCCCUGCCAGCGCGGCACGGCAGUGUGCGGGCGCCUCCCCCGGGGCUCCUGCGGGCAUCCCUGGGGGAUAGCGCCGAAGCUACGUCUCCCGGGCGAAGGGCUAAGUGCCCGUCGCGAUCUCCAGAUCCUAUAAAGCACCUUGGUCGUAAACAUUAAAUCCCCAUACGGGCGCGCGGAAAUCAGACAGCGGGGAGGGAAUGGGUUUGUCCAAGGUCAUUUAAGUAAGGGAGAGACCGGAGAGCAGCAGAGAAACUCCAGGUUUCCUGUCUCAUUAUUAUUUAAUGGAUGCUAAGUGUCCGUGGUUGCUGUGUAGAGCGCGUGGAAUCUACAAGCCUCUCCUGAAGGCACACAUGCAAAAAAGAAAAGAAAAAAGCCCAGGCUGAGCUUUCUGCGAAGAGUUCCUGUCAUCGGGGCCAAGCAGAGUUUUGUUUUGCUUGUUGUUCUGUUUUGUUUUGUUUUCCAGGAAGCAAAAUGUUUGUUGUUGAAUUGAUGCAGGAAAGCUGUUCCACAUCAAUUAAAUCCGUUCUAUCUUUGAGAAAUGUUAAAUGACGUGAUAACGUUCCCUUUACGCGCUCCAUUUUUUCAGAGCUCCUGUUGUUUGGGCUGUAAAAAUUUCUAAGGACGGGAAAGACUCUUUUUCGUCAUAUCGGUCGGGUCUUGGAUGAUGUGAACCAACUCAGCUGUCCAUCUGUGAAAUGGAAGUAUUAUUUAUCCGCGUGAAAGUAGGCCACGAGCAACUGCGUGCGUGUCGGGGAGCAUUGAUUGCUGGGAAGAGGUGCUUGGACAAGAAGGAAGGGGGUCCUUCUGGAGCCCCAAGAGUGGCAGAAAGCUGUAGCUGACAGAAGAGAGUUUUCCAGUCCAGGCAAUGGAGGAGGAGAGCUCCCUGGACAAAACCAGGGUGCUGAAGGGGCACCAGGCGGGGUGCCCCAGGUAGAUCGGAGACACCUUCCCUGGCACACCGGAGACCUUCGCAUUCUCCACAAAUGACCAUGCAGGUGCCACGGUUCCACAUACGUGUCGGCAAACUGGUUCGUGUUAGUCUACCAUGAGGAGGGAGUGCCAAGAAGUUAGAGCAGUUUUGGAGGCUGGAGGCCUGGGGCCACGCCUUGAACCAAAGCGAGUUCACACAGGUGAAUGGCACCUGGGACACUGUGUUUUUUUUA